CCUACGGGUGGCUGCAGUGAGGAAUAUUGGGCAAUGCCCGCAAGGGUGACCCAGCAACGCCGCGUAGAGGAUGAAGGCCGUAAGGUUGUAAACUCCUGUUAGAGGAGAAGAAUAGUACCGAUUGGAUCGGUAUUUGACUGUACCCUCAGAGAAAGCCCCGGCUAACUACGUGCCAGCAGCCGCGGUAAUACGUAGGGGGCAAGCGUUGUCCGGUUUUACUGGGUGGAAAGGGCGAGCAGGCGGCAGAGGAGAACUCCUACAGCUUAACUGUAGAACUGCCUUUGAUACUGUUAUUCUUGAGUUCGGGAGAGAGAGACGGAAUUCCAGGUGUAGUGGUGAAAUACGUAGAUAUCUGGAAGAACACCAGUUGCGAAGGCGGUCUCUUGGUCCGAUACUGACGCUGAGGCGCGAAAGCCAGGGGAGCAAACGGGAUUAGAUACCCCUGUAGUC
rnacentral:rRNA from 1 species